rnacentral:rRNA from 1 species
UACGAAGGGGGCUAGCGUUGUUCGGAAUCACUGGGCGUAAAGCGGGUGUAGGUGGAUGUUUAAGUGAGGGGUGAAAGCCCAAGGCUCAACCUUGGAACGGCCUCUCAUACUGAGCAUCUAGAGUCUGGAAGGGGGAAAUGGAAUUCCGAGUGUAGAGGUGAAAUUCGUAGAUAUUCGGAGGAACACCAGUGGCGAAGGCGAUUUCCUGGUACAUGACUGACACUCAGACCCGAAAGUGUGGGGAUCAAACAGGAUUAGAUACCCUGGUAGUCCACACCGUAAACGAUGUGCAUUAGGCGUUGGGGCGUUUUACGCUUCAGUGCUACAGCUAACGCGUUAAAUGCACCGCCUGGGAAGUACGGCCGCAAGGUUG